UACGUAGGGACCAAGCGUUGUUCGGAUUUACUGGGCGUAAAGGGCGCGUAGGCGGCGUGGUAAGUCACUUGUGAAAUCCCCGGGCUCAACCCGGGAACUGCGUCCGAUACUGGCAGGCUUGAAUUCGGGAGAGGGAUGCGGAAUUCCAGGUGUAGCGGUGAAAUGCGUAGAUAUCUGGAGGAACACCGGUGGCGAAGGCGGCAUCCUGGACCGAGAUUGACGCUGAGGCGCGAAAGCCAGGGGAGCAAACGGG
rnacentral:rRNA from 1 species